AAAUUCUCAAAGUAAAUCUUUUGUUAAUUCAAUUGCUUUACUUUGGAUUUGGAGGCUCUGUGGAUUUUUACAAUCCACUCCUCUUGAAUAUAUUAGCUGGAUCUUAGUAUAUACUUGGUUCCACUUGGUGUGAUAAGUAUCACUCGCCGAGGACACCACCUGUCAAAAGGUGUGGCCAAGGAAUACAGAUGAACCGCUUCCAAUAGUCUAUUGAAUUAGACAAUUUAUUUUAAG
rnacentral:misc_RNA from 1 species